AUGGAGUCCUCCCUCCUCCUCUCCUCCGCCCGCCCCCUCAAGCCCUCCCUCGUCGCGCCCUCCUCCUCCUCCUUCGCCCGUCGACGCUGCGCCUCCUUCGGCCCGAAGCUUCUGUUUCGACGCCUCCCCUCCCUGCCGCCGCGCGCCCGCCGGUGGAGCGUGGCGCCGCGCGCUGCGUCCGAGGCGUUCGACGGAAUUCAGAGCCAGGACAAGCCUCCCGGGGUCGGAGGCGGGGGCGCGCGCCGGAGAGCCUACCGCGAGGAGCAAGGGGAGCCCGUCGCCCGCCCCUUGGGUGCUGGAGCGGGGGGCAUCACUCGCUACAUCGUCCCGGCAGGGGCGUUGCUCGCGCUGAGCUUUGUCAUUUGGAAGGUGGUUGAGAAUUUCCUCCCCCUAAAGAGAAAGGAUCAGAAUUCUGGAGAACCUAUGUCUUCUGGGGUCACGUGGUCCUUUGCUGCCGGCUCCAAUUUGUCAACAUCUACAAGCAUUAAAGCCCAAAAGGAGUCGAAGAAAAAUCUAAACAAGUUUUAUAAGGAACUUCGGACACUGAAAACCGUUAACAUGGCAGGCCGUCAAUUCGGGGAUGAGGGACUAUUCUUCCUAGCAGAAAGCUUAGCCUAUAACAAGAGUGCUGAAGAGGUGGACUUUUCGGGUAAUGCGAUAACAGCUGCGGGAAUAGAAGCUUUCGAUGGCAUUCUCCAGAUAAACACAGCUUUGAAGACUCUCAAUUUAUCUGGAAAUAUCAUUGGAGAUGAAGGAGCCAAGUGUCUUUCAGAUAUAUUGAUUGAAAACGUAGGUAUUCAGAAGCUCUUCCUGAACAGUACAAAUAUCGGAGAUGAGGGGGCAAAAGCAAUUUCAGAUCUGCUGAAAAAGAACAAAACAAUACGUAUUGUACAGCUUAGCAACAAUACAAUAGAAUACAGUGGUUUUGCAAGUAUUGCAGAUGCACUUCUUGAGAAUAAUACGCUACGGAGUUUGUAUCUCAAUGGCAACUAUGGUGGUCCUCUCGGUGCAUCCAGCCUAGCAAAAGGAGUUGUAGGGAACAAAUCUCUCAGGGAACUUCAUUUACAUGGUAACGGAUUUGGGAACGAGGGAUUACGGGUGUUGAUGUCUGCAUUAUCUGCUCACAGAGGGAAGAUAACAGUCUUGGAUAUUGGUAACAACAACAUUACAUCAGAAGGUUCUCUCUAUGUAGCUGAGUUCAUCAAAGUGACAAAGUCUCUACGGUGGCUCAGCCUGUACAUGGAUGAUGUUGGUGACGAGGGAGCUGAAAAGGUGGCAGAUGCUCUGAAACAGAACAAAACAAUUUCUACAAUGGACUUUGGUGGUAAUAACAUUCACUCUCGAGGGGUAACUGCAAUAGCUGAAACUUUGAAGGAGAAUGAAGUGCUAACAACACUGGAGUUGAGUUAUAACCCAAUUGGACCAGAGGGGGUAAAGGCUUUGUGCGAUGUUCUCAAGUUCAACGGCAAACUCCAAACCCUUAAGCUUGGUUGGUGCCAGAUAGGUGUGUCAGGUGCAGAGUUCAUUGCUGAUUGUUUGAAGUAUAACACAACAUUGUCGACAUUGGAUUUGCGGGCAAAUGGACUUGGAGAUGAUGGUGCUAUCUGCUUGGCGCGAAGUUUGAAGAUAAUCAAUGAAUCCUUGAAAUCACUUGACCUUGGAUUUAAUGAGAUUAGAGAUGAUGGAGCAUUUGCAUUGGCACAAGCACUCAAGGCCAAUGAGGAUCUUGCAGUCACAUCAUUAAUGCUCGCUAACAACUUCUUUGGGAAAUUUGGACAGGUUGCUCUGACCGAGGCACGGGAUCAUGUAUACGAGAUGAGUGGAAAGGAAAUAGACAUUUAUUAUUAG
rnacentral:rRNA from 1 species